UACGUAGGGCGCAAGCGUUGUCCGGAAUUAUUGGGCGUAAAGAGCUCGUAGGCGGUUUGUCGCGUCUGCUGUGAAAUCCUCAGGCUCAACUUGGGGCGUGCAGUGGGUACGGGCAGACUAGAGUGCGGUAGGGGAGACUGGAAUUCCUGGUGUAGCGGUGAAAUGCGCAGAUAUCAGGAGGAACACCGGUGGCGAAGGCGGGUCUCUGGGCCGUAACUGACGCUGGAGGAGCGAAAGCAUGGGGAGCGAACAGG
rnacentral:rRNA from 1 species